GCACAGUAUCACAGUUUAUCGUGAUAUAAUUGUGAUCCAUGUAUCGUGAUACGUUUCAUAUGCCAAUACACACCCCUACCUUGUAAAGGAGUAUUUGUAUUGUAAUGAAAUUUUUAAUGUUUCAGAUAUUGAAAGCACCCAUUUAAAAUGGUCCUGUGAGCCUUCACACAAUAAUGAUACGACAUGUACUCAUACAACCAUUAUGAGACUUGCAAUGUCAAAAAUCUGCUCAACUUGCAAGAAUAAAACACCGAAUCAAUAAAAAUAUAUGGGGGGCAGAAUAAAUGUUAGAGCAGUAGUCA
rnacentral:lncRNA from 1 species